GAUGAACGCUGGCGGCGUGCCUAAUACAUGCAAGUCGAGCGAACGGACGAGAAGCUUGCUUCUCUGAUGUUAGCGGCGGACGGGUGAGUAACACGUGGAUAACCUACCUAUAAGACUGGGAUAACUUCGGGAAACCGUAGCUAAUACCGGAUAAUAUUUUGAACCGCAUGGUUCAAAAGUGAAAGACGGUCUUGCUGUCACUUAUAGAUGGAUCCGCGCUGCAUUAGAUAGUUGGUAAGGUAACGGCUUACCAAGGCAACGAUGCAUAGCCGACCUGAGAGGGUGAUAGGCCACACUGGAACGGAGACACGGUCCAGACGCCUACGGGAGGCAGCAGUAGGGAAUCUUCCGCAAUGGGCGAAAGCCUGACGGAGCAACGCCGCGUGAGUGAUGAAGGUCUUCGGAUCGUAAAACUCUGUUAUUAGGGAAGAACAUAUGUGUAAGUAACUGUGCACAUCUUGACGGUACCUAAUCAGAAAGCCACGGCUAACUACGUG
rnacentral:rRNA from 1 species